rnacentral:sRNA from 1 species
CGUGAUCGACCUGCUGCGGGCAGAUGUAAUGGAUAUGGCAAUCGAAGCCGCCGGGGGUCAGGAUGCGGCCCUCGCCCGCGAUGAUCUCGGUUCCCGGUCCGAUGAUCAGGGUGACGCCCGGCUGCGUGUCGGGAUUGCCCGCCUUGCCGAUCCCGGCGAUGCGGCCUUCCUUCAGCCCGACAUCUGCCUUGGUGAUGCCCUGAUGGUCGAAUACGACUACGCCGGUGAUGACGGUAUCCAUCACGCCGCCCGCGCGCGUGACCUGGGACUGGCCCAUGCCGUCACG